rnacentral:rRNA from 1 species
UACGUAGGGUGCAAGCGUUGUCCGGAAUCAUUGGGCGUAAAGCGCGCGUAGGCGGCUUUGCAAGUCGGGUGUGAAAUCCCAAGGCUUAACCUGGGAACUGCAUUCGAGACUGCAUUGCUAGAGUAUGGGAGAGGGAAGUGGAAUUUCCGGUGUAGCGGUGAAAUGCGUAGAUAUCGGAAGGAACAUCAGUGGCGAAAGCGACUGCCUGGACCAAUACUGACGCUGAUGUGCGAAAGCGUGGGGAGCAAACAGG